CACGGGCUCUUUCUGCCGCUGUAGAAGGGAAAUCCCCUUUUAGUCCCGAGAAGGAUUCAAAUACAUCAGUCCUAACUAGAAGCCAAGAGUCCGACUCGUAUCAGUGCAAAGGAACAGAGAUGUUUCUUUAUUAAUAAUGCUCACAUUCGAGCAAGGAUACUACAAAAAGAAAAAAAGAAUUACAAAGAUGACAGGAGAAAGCCUAAGAAGUCUAAACUUCAAGCUCGGCCCACCUCCUGGCUCGGCGC
rnacentral:lncRNA from 1 species